GUGAGACAUAUUCGUUUCCUCGGGAGACGCGCUGUUCUGAAUGGCUCGGUCGAUCUUAAACCGGGAGGGACGGAAAAGCGCCGCCCCUCUCGCCAUCAGCCGAAGCGGCCCAUGAUGUAGUCCUGGGUGCGCUGAUCGUCCGGGUUGGUGAA
rnacentral:sRNA from 1 species